GUGCUCGCCUCAGCAGCACGUAUGCUAACAUUGGAAGCAUGUGGAGGAAAAUAGCAUGGCCCUGCACAAGGAUGACUCGGAAACUCAUGAAGCACUCCUUUUUUUU
ensembl:snRNA Gm24296 predicted gene, 24296